rnacentral:lncRNA from 1 species
AUGACUUUGCGUUGAUUCAAACUACCAUGUAUAGGAUCCAAGUAAAAUAAGGUCCCUGUAGUGGCAUUGAUCACAACCAACACCCAAUGUGCCCUACAAGCAAGACAUGUUAAAUUAUAAUAUUAAUAAAUCAAGUAGCUAAUCAUAUAAAUUAAUCAAGUAACUAUGAAUUAAUAUUUACAAAUUUCAUCCAAUAUUUCUCACCCUAUAUUGACCGGUGCAAGAUAUAAUUGGUUUGGGUGUGCAUUUGCCAUAAUUGCAUCCGAAAUAUAUUGGCUUUGAUUGGUCAGCCCAUGUGCCGUUCGAUGAGGACUCAAAAAGGCAAAUUUCUCACUCAAGUUUUCAGCCACACAGUGAUCAAAUAAGAACCUUAAAUAAGAAUAUACAAAUAAAAUACAAUGUUAAAAAAUUGCUUAGAUAAGAAAACUAAAAACUUUGUUUUCAGUCAAGUUUAAAAAAGUACCUCAUAUAAACACAAACGGCUGAAGCACUUAAUUCACCAUGCCCAGUGAUUUCACGGACUUCCUCACGACCAAUAUGCUCAAUCUUCAUAUAAACAUCAUGGAAUAUUUUUUGAUCUAUUGGUAUUUUAAUUUGUUUCCCUUGAAUAAGAACCUUUUCUGAAUAUAUGUUGAGAAAAGUACAACUGUUAAGUUGAUUGGCACUUAUCCCAAUGUGAGACCUGUGUUGAUUUGGCGAUGCAACAGAUUCCCUUGUGCAUCUUGUUUCCAUCACCUUCUCUUUCACAAUCAAUGGUUUCACCUGAUUUUUAUUCCAUCAGUAGACAAUGCAAGGCGUAGGUUUCUUUCCUCUUUGCCAAAUUCAGAAUAGUCAGAAUCAAUUUUGCUCCAUUGGGGAGAAUCUGCCGGGUGUCGAAGCAUUCCAUCUCCUUCUCCUCUAUAUUUAUGCCAAGUCAACUGUUUUGCAACUUCUGCACUGCGGUACAUGCGCCUAAAUCUGGGUAUUAUGGGGAAAUACCAUAACACUUUUAAAGGACAUGAAUUUUCCUUCUUAUAUCGUGGAGCUUUACAUUUGGGACAUGGCUUAAGAGAUUCAUAUUCAUUUCGAAAUAAUAUGCAGUCAUUAGGACAUGCGUGAAUCCUCUCAUAACUCAUUCCAAUAGAGCACAACAUUUGUUUAGCCUCAUAUAGUCGACCGGGAAGAACGUUUCCCUCUGGAAGCAUAUCUUUUAAGAGUGUUAGUAGGUUGGUGAAGCUCGUAUCAGUCCAUCCAUUGGCAGCUUUCAAGUUGUACAGCUUUAAGACCGCAGAUAGUCUUGUGAAUUUAGAGCAUCCAUUAUAAAGAGGUGUCCCCGCAUCAUUUUUCAGCCUCUCAAACAUUUGAGGACAAUCACGAAGAUCAUCUUCAACCGCCUUCGCCAUUUCCUCAACACGGUCACCAUCACAUGCAUCUUCCUCUGCUCCAAAUGAGGCAGAUCUCACACUAUCUGCUGCAUCAC